GUAGCCAGUAGUGAAAAGGUAAACGCAGUGUGGUCUGACUGAAAACCAAGUUUUAUUGCUUAUAACAUUUACUGCUUAUAACAUUAACUCUCAAUUGGGCUGGAACACAGUCUUACACAUGACACCUGACAGGCAGCCCAGAGACACUUCUCGGAGUGAAUCACCAUAUGAUAUCUUUAUACUACUUGGAAGACACAUCCCUCUCACACGCAUACCCCAAGUCAAAUGCUUUAUCUGUUCGGUUCUGGUGGCUGCCAAGGUUUAC